rnacentral:rRNA from 1 species
UACGUAGGGUGCAAGCGUUAAUCGGAAUUACUGGGCGUAAAGCGUGCGCAGGCGGCUUUGCAAGACAGAUGUGAAAUCCCCGGGCUCAACCCGGGAACUGCAUUUGUGACUGCAUGGCUGGAGUGCGGCAGAGGGGGAUGGAAUUCCGCGUGUAGCAGUGAAAUGCGUAGAUAUCAGGAGGAAUACCGAUGGCGAAGGCAGGUCUCUGGGCUGACACUGACGCUCAUGCACGAAAGCGUGGGGAGCAAACAGG